rnacentral:rRNA from 1 species
GACGAACGCUGGCGGCGUGCCUAAUACAUGCAAGUCGAGCGCAGGAAACCGUCUGAACCCUUCGGGGGGACGACGGUGGAAUGAGCGGCGGACGGGUGAGUAACACGUAAAGAACCUGCCCAUAGGUCUGGGAUAACCACGAGAAACCGGGGCUAAUACCGGAUGUGUCAUCGGACCGCAUGGUCCGCUGAUGAAAGGAGCUUCGGCGUCGCCCAUGGAUGGCUUUGCGGUGCAUUAGCUAGUUGGUGGGGUAAUGGCCCACCAAGGCGACGAUGCAUAGCCGACCUGAGAGGGUGAUCGGCCAAACUGGGACUGAGACACGGCCCAGACUCCUACGGGAGGCAGCAGUAGGGAAUCUUCCACAAUGGACGAAAGUCUGAUGGAGCAACGCCGCGUGAACGAUGAAGGCUUUCGGGUCGUAAAGUUCUGUUGUAAGGGAAGAACAAGUGCCGCAGGCAAUGGCGGCACCUUGACGGUACCUUGCGAGAAAGCCACGGCUAACUACGUGCCAGCCGCCGCCGUAA